rnacentral:rRNA from 1 species
CAGCAGCCGCGGGAAUACGGAGGGGGCUAGCGUUGUUCGGAAUUACUGGGCGUAAAGCGCACGUAGGCUGCUUUGUAAGUCAGAGGUGAAAGCCCGGGGCUCAACCCCGGAUGUGCCUUUGAGACUGCAGAGCUAGAAUCGCGGAGAGGUAAGUGGAAUUCCGAGUGUAGAGGUGAAAUUCGUAGAUAUUCGGAAGAACACCAGUGGCGAAGGCGGCUCACUGGACGCGUAUUGACGCUGAGGUGCGAAAGCGUGGGGAGCAAACAGGAUUAGAUACCCCGGUAGUCCCUGUCUCUUAUAC